AGAUUGAACGCUGGCGGCAGGCCUAACACAUGCAAGUCGAACGGUAACAGGAAGAAGCUUGCUUCUUUGCUGACGAGUGGCGGACGGGUGAGUAAUGUCUGGGAAACUGCCUGAUGGAGGGGGAUAACUACUGGAAACGGUAGCUAAUACCGCAUAACGUCGCAAGACCAAAGAGGGGGACCUUCGGGCCUCUUGCCAUCGGAUGUGCCCAGAUGGGAUUAGCUAGUAGGUGGGGUAACGGCUCACCUAGGCGACGAUCCCUAGCUGGUCUGAGAGGAUGACCAGCCACACUGGAACUGAGACACGGUCCAGACUCCUACGGGAGGCAGCAGUGGGGAAUAUUGCACAAUGGGCGCAAGCCUGAUGCAGCCAUGCCGCGUGUAUGAAGAAGGCCUUCGGGUUGUAAAGUACUUUCAGCGGGGAGGAAGGGAGUAAAGUUAAUACCUUUGCUCAUUGACGUUACCCGCAGAAGAAGCACCGGCUAACUCCGUGCCAGCAGCCGCGGUAAUACGGAGGGUGCAAGCGUUAAUCGGAAUUACUGGGCGUAAAGCGCACGCAGGCGGUUUGUUAAGUCAGAUGUGAAAUCCCCGGGCUCAACCUGGGAACUGCAUCUGAUACUGGCAAGCUUGAGUCUCGUAGAGGGGGGUAGAAUUCCAGGUGUAGCGGUGAAAUGCGUAGAGAUCUGGAGGAAUACCGGUGGCGAAGGCGGCCCCCUGGACGAAGACUGACGCUCAGGUGCGAAAGCGUGGGGAGCAAA
rnacentral:rRNA from 1 species